rnacentral:rRNA from 1 species
UUGAACGCUGGCGGCAUGCUUUACACAUGCAAGUCGAACGGCAGCACGGGGGCAACCCUGGUGGCGAGUGGCGAACGGGUGAGUAAUGCAUCGGAACGUACCCAGUCGUGGGGGAUAACGCAGCGAAAGUUGUGCUAAUACCGCAUACGACCUGAGGGUGAAAGCGGGGGACCGUAAGGCCUCGCGCGAUUGGAGCGGCCGAUGUCUGAUUAGCUAGUUGGUGGGGUAAAGGCCCACCAAGGCGACGAUCAGUAGCGGGUCUGAGAGGAUGAUCCGCCACACUGGGACUGAGACACGGCCCAGACUCCUACGGGAGGCAGCAGUGGGGAAUUUUGGACAAUGGGCGCAAGCCUGAUCCAGCCAUGCCGCGUGAGUGAAGAAGGCCUUCGGGUUGUAAAGCUCUUUCAGACGGAAAGAAAUCGGGCGCGUGAAUAGCGUGCCUGGAUGACGGUACUGUCAGAAGAAGCACCGGCUAACUACGU